AUUAGCGCCUAUUGAGAUUAAAGAGACAAGAUCUCUUUUGUGUUAAACAAGAAGCUUACAUUCUUUUCUGAUGAACUCUUCUCUGUUUUCCUUCUUGAUGAUUGUGAGCAACAUUCUUGCAAAGAGACAUCC